UACGAAGGGUGCAACCGUUGCUCGGAAUUAUUGGGCGUAAAGCGCACGUAGGCGGCUUUGCAAGUCCCAUGUGAAAUCCCACGGCUCAACCGUGGAAGUGCAUGGGAAACUGCAGAGCUUGAGUACUUAAGAGGAUCGCGGAAUUCCCGGUGUAGAGGUGAAAUUCGUAGAUAUCGAGAGGAACACCGGUGGCGAAGGCGGCCUUCUGGACAGUGACUGACGCUGAGACGCGAAAGCGUGGGGAGCAAACAGG
rnacentral:rRNA from 1 species